GCAGCGAAAUGCGAUAAGUAAUGUGAAUUGCAGAAUUCAGUGAAUCAUCGAAUCUUUGAACGCACAUUGCGCCCUUUGGUAUUCCGAAGGGCAUGCCUGUUCGAGCGUCAUUU
rnacentral:rRNA from 1 species